ensembl:ncRNA ZK384.7 ncRNA
GACGCUUGUGUGGUGUCCUCCGGAUGUUUUAUUGAUUUUUUAAAGUUUCUAUAAUGAAUUUUUGCUGGAUUUUGACGAUCUUUUUGAAAACGGAGUAAUAACACUUCUUUGGAAAUGAAUCCACUAAAACUGGAAUAUACGAUUACCCGCUUUCAGAAUGUUGAAGAAAUGACUAAGAGAGUAUAAUUGAAGAAAUGGAAAACGUUCACCACAAUGUUGAAAAAAUACGUUCACCACAAUGUUGAAGAAAAAAAAAAGACAGCAAAAUGAAAAAAGAAGACGACAAUAAAUAUUGGAUAGGCACACAAUUAUUUGAUGAAAAGAGAAGAAGAGCAAAGAACUGCUAGCAACAGUAUCAGAAAACAUCGAGAAACGUAAAAAUGAAAAAGAAAAAUUGAUACAUUUUUUUUGUAAUCCAAUAAAGUUUAUUUUAAUACAAUU